rnacentral:rRNA from 1 species
CCUACGGGAGGCAGCAGUAGGGAAUAUUGCUCAAUGGGGGAUACCCUGAAGCAGCAACGCCGCGUGGAGGAUGAAGGUUUUAGGAUUGUAAACUCCUUUUGUUAGAGAAGAUUAUGACGGUAUCUAAAGAAUAAGCACCGGCUAACUCCGUGCCAGCAGCCGCGGUGAUACGGAGGGUGCAAGCGUUACUCGGAUUCACUGGGCGUAAAGCGUGCGUAGGCGGGGUAAUAAGUCAGAUGUGAAAUUCUGUAGCUUAACUGCAGAACUGCAUUUGAAACUGUUACUCUUGAGUGUGGGAGAGGUAGGUGGAAUUCGUGGUGUAGGGGUAAAAUGCGUAGAGAUCAAGAGGAAUACUCAUUGCGAAGGCGACCUGCUGGAACAUUACUGACGCUGAUGCACGAAAGUGUGGGGAGCAAACAGGAUUAGAUACCCUUGUAGUC